UGCCAGCAGCCGCGGUAACACGUAGGGGGCAAGCGUUGUCCGGAUUUAUUGGGCGUAAAGAGCUCGUAGGUGGCUGAGUAAGUCGGAUGUCAAAUCCCCAGGCUCAACCUGGGACUCCAUCCGAUACUGCAAUGACUAGAGUCCGGUAGGGGAGCAUGGAAUUCCUGGUGUAGCGGUGGAAUGCGCAGAUAUCAGGAGGAACACCAAUGGCGAAGGCAGUGCUCUGGGCCGGUACUGACGCUGAGGAGCGAAAGCAUGGGGAGCAAACAGGAUUAGAUA
rnacentral:rRNA from 1 species